UCUAAUAGAACAACUUGCAAUGUCAUUAUACGCCUGUACAGACAUGUCGGCAUGGUGGGUUUUCGAGGACUUUGUGUCCAUUUUCUUGUUUCCUUGCCUGAGAAAACACUGCUGUACAUGUCUGAAACAGGUAGAUGUAUCUGUGCUCAUGUUGCAUUGUUGCAACAUUCUUGUUUGGUUAUCUUGUCUGCCCCUCUUUAAAUCCUGGAUUGUUGAAAAUGUGUAAGAUCUGUUCUAAUGGAAUGCUUUACUCUUUUAGGUUUGUCUUCUUUCAGUGAUUUGAGUAGUCCUUGAAAGAUAUUCGAGGAUAAGUCCUUGAGAAUGAAGAAAAAAGGAAUGACAGAAUUCUGUAAGAUCGAGAUUGUGCUUUGUUAACUCAAUUUCUCCAGAAAUCAUUCAGAAGGCAGGAUCACAGGAUUGAUGUAAAAUCUUUUUCUGAUGAAUGGAAAGGGUCUCAUAAACAAAUGCCACACCAACACAAGUGAGGGCCCUUCUAUUUCUCCUCUGCAAAAGUACAUCUAUAAGAAGCACUUCUUAACCCCUUCGAAUGUAGCUUGAAUUUUGUUGAAGAAACUACCAAGCUAUAAACUGGGCAUGCAGCUUAGGGGAGGGGAAAGGAGGAGAUGAUUAGGAGGGACUCCUGAACUAGCGUGGAUCUACAAGACAGUCCAUGGAUGUCAAUG